CUUCUUACUCAGCAGGGAAGCAACCAUGAUCACGAAGGUGGUUUUCCCAGGGUGAGGCUCAUCUGGACGUGCUGAGCCCUGCGGUUGGCCCAAUGGACACUGGGCUGUGCCAUUAACGGUGGUGGUGGGGGACUGUGUCCAUGCUCUCCCCCA
rnacentral:snRNA from 1 species